rnacentral:rRNA from 1 species
CCUACGGGAGGCAGCAGUGGGGAAUCUUCCGCAAUGGGCGCAAGCCUGACGGAGCAACGCCGCGUGAGUGAAGAAGGUCUUCGGAUCGUAAAGCUCUGUUGACGGGGACGAACGUGCGUGAUGCGAACAGUGUCAUGCAAUGACGGUACCUGUCGAGGAAGCCACGGCUAACUACGUGCCAGCAGCCGCGGUAAUACGUAGGUGGCGAGCGUUGUCCGGAAUCAUUGGGCGUAAAGGGAGCGCAGGCGGGCAAGUAAGUCUUUCUUAAAAGUGCGGGGCUCAACCCCGUGAUGGGAAAGAAACUACAUGUCUUGAGUACAGGAGAGGAAAGCGGAAUUCCCAGUGUAGCGGUGAAAUGCGUAGAUAUUGGGAGGAACACCAGUGGCGAAGGCGGCUUUCUGGAC